rnacentral:rRNA from 1 species
UUAAUUAUUUAUUUGAUUUUUUUUAUUUUUUUUUUGUAAAGGUAAUUUUUUUGUUUUAGUAGUUUUUUGUGAAUAUAAUUUUUUUAUCUAUAGUUAAUUUGUACUUAAAAGGUUAAUUAUUUUUUUUAUUAAAAGUGUAUUUAUUUUUGUACCUUUUGUAUCAGGGGUAACUAAUUUAUUUUAAUUUAUUUUAUUUUCUCGAAUAUAAGUGAUUUAAUUAUUAAGUGUUAUUUAAUGUGCAUAAUUAUUAAUAACUUAUUUUUGGUAGUGAUAUGUUAUUCGUCCUUAUUGAUAUCUAGUUCCUUAACAUUAAAUUUAAUUUUUUAUUAAUUAGUUUUUUGUUAUUUAUUUUUUGUUAAAUUAUUUAAUGUUAUUUUAUUGGGGAUAAUCUCAAUAUAUUUGUAAUAACUUUUUUUUUAUUAAUCUUUGUAGGCUUAGAAUUAGCAUUCAUUUAAUUAUGUAAUUAUUUAUUUUAUUAUUUAUUUGAUUUUUUUUAGUUUUAUUUUUUAUUAAGGUUAUUAUUUUAAUAUUUAGUUGAUUUAAUAAUGGUUAUAUUAGUAUAGUAAUUAUUUUUUAUAUAGGAAUUCGGCAAAAUUUAUUUUCACCUGUUUAUCAAAAACAUGGUUUUUAGUAUUUAUGUUAAAGAUCUAAUCUGCUCAAUGAUUAUAUUUUAAUAGCCAUGGUAAAUUGACCAUGCAAAGGUAGCAUAAUAAUUAGUCUUUUAAUUGGAGUCUGGAAUGAAUGAUUGAAUGAGAAAUUUACUUUCUUUAUUAUUUAAUUUGAAUUUAAUUUUUAAGUGAAAAAGCUUAAAUUUUUUUAAGUGACGAUAAGACCCUAUAGAGUUUAAAAUUUUUUUUGUUAUUAUUAUUUUGGUUAGUUUAUAUUUUUUAAUUUUAAUUAAUUUUUUGUUGGGGUGACAGGUAUAAAUUUUUAUAACUUUAUUUUAUUUUUUUCAUUUAUUUAUGUUUAUUUUUGAUCCAUUAUUAUUGAUUAUAAGAAUAAGUUAUCUUAGGGAUAACAGCGUAAUUUUUUUGUAGAGUUCAUAUCGAUAAAAUUUUUGCGACCUCGAUGUUGGAUUAAGAAAAAAUUGGGGGGUAGAUUUUCUUUAUUUAAGUCUGUUCGACUUUUAAAUUCUUACAUGAUCUGAGUUCAGACCGGCGUAAGCCAGGUUGGUUUCUAUCUUUAAAGUUUAUUAAUUAUCUUAGUACGAAAGGACCAGUAUAAUUAGUUGAUAAUUUAAUUAAUUGAAUUUUAUU